CUUUAACUGGUGUCUGGACCCCCAGGAAGCAUUUGCCCAAACACUCUGGAGAGGACACAGGAAAGGAAGAUAACUACCACAUUUCUUGAUGAGGAGCAGCUGUGGAGGACCUGGAACAAAGGAUGGACAGCAAGUGGAGACUGAGAUGAGGAGAUGGAAGGAGGAAGAGAGGCAAAGAACUUUUUAAUGUCAACAGUCUCAGAUCAACACAGCCCUGCCCUCCAGCACUAUCACCAGCAGGGGCACCCUUAACCGCUCAACAGCAACAUUGUACCCGAUCAGGAAGGGAGCAGAUAAAAGGUCGGACAUGAGUGGAUGUGAACUCAUGAGGAGACUCGAAAGGAGACAACAGGACUGCCACGUCGAUUCCGGAAGAAGAUAGUCAUAAUAAUAAUGUUAUUGUUGUGGUUUAAAACUGUACAGCCCGACUCAGGGUCAUCCUCUUUGUGAAGUCAGAUGACUGCUUUCACAGAGAG